UACGAAGGGGGCGAGCGUUGUUCGGAUUUACUGGGCGUAAAGGGCGCGCAGGCGGCAGACCAAGUCAGGCGUGAAAUCCCUCAGCUUAACUGGGGAACUGCGUCUGAUACUGGAUGGCUUGAGUUUGGGAGAGGGAUGCGGAAUUCCAGGUGUAGCGGUGAAAUGCGUAGAUAUCUGGAGGAACACCGGUGGCGAAGGCGGCAUCCUGGACCAACACUGACACUGAGGAGCGAAAGCCAGGGGAGCAAACGGG
rnacentral:rRNA from 1 species